rnacentral:tRNA from 1 species
GGGCCCGUGGUAUAUUGGAAACACGCGUCUAUGGCAUAGAUGAAUAGAGGGUUCGAUUCCCUCCGGGUCCA